GAUGAACGCUGGCGGCGUGCUUAACACAUGCAAGUCGAACGAGAAGUGAAGACGGAAACCUUCGGGCGGAAGGCUUUAUUUCGAGUGGCGGACGGGUGAGUAACGCGUGGGUAACCUGCCUCAUACAGGGGGAUAACAGUUGGAAACGACUGUUAAUACCGCAUAAGACCACAGCACCGCAUGGUGCGGGGGUAAAAACUCCGGUGGUAUGAGAUGGACCCGCGUUCGAUUAGCCAGUUGGCGGGGUAACGGCCCACCAAAGCGACGAUCGAUAGCCGAUCUGAGAGGAUGACCGGCCACAUUGGGACUGAGACACGGCCCAAACUCCUACGGGAGGCAGCAGUGGGGAAUAUUGCACAAUGGGGGAAACCCUGAUGCAGCGACGCCGCGUGAGUGAAGAAGUAUUUCGGUAUGUAAAGCUCUAUCAGCAGGGAAGAAAAUGACGGUACCUGAGCAAGAAGCCCCGGCUAACUACGUG
rnacentral:rRNA from 1 species